GCUGUGUGGUGCUUAGUUGCUGGCUGGGGUUGAACCACGACAAUAUGUUCCAGAGCCACAUCUCAACUGUAUUCACCAGUGCACUUAGUUUGCUAGAGCAUAUUCUGCAAGCAAUGGAAAGAAUGAUAGUCAUUGUUGCAUGGAACAGCAGUGCACCAGACUCUUUUAUCAGUACUUUAAAACAACUGGAGUGCAGAUGAGAAGGUGUUAGUCACAACUGCCUAAAACCACAGUGGUUCUUUCAUACUGUACUUUUGGGCCAAUAUCGCUCCAUGGAAGAGGCCACCCAUCCGACUCCAUGGAUCCACAAAGUAUGCAAGACCUGUUGGCAAGUAUGCAAGACCUCGUUUUUUUACUGCAGCCUGGGUUUGGACACGCUCCCAUCACUUCGUUGUUUGCUACUGCAGGAACAUGGAAGUGAAGGAAUCUGUACA